GACGAACCGUGCGAACGUUAUCCGGAAUCACUGGGCGUAAAGCGUGCGUAGGUGGAUUGUUAAGUGCGAUGCGAAAUCCUGUGGCUCAACCAUAUGGACUGUAUCGCAUACUGGCUAUCUAGAGGACAUGAGAGGCAAGUGGAAUUACUGGUGUAGCAGUGAAAUGCGUAGAGAUCAGUAGGAACACCAAUGGCGAAGGCAGCUUGCUGGCAUGUAUCUGACGCUAAGGCACGAAAGCGUGGGGAGCGAACAGG
rnacentral:rRNA from 1 species